rnacentral:rRNA from 1 species
ACGAACGCUGGCGGCACGCUUAACACAUGCAAGUCGAACGAGAGAAGAGGAGCUUGCUUUUCUGAUCUAGUGGCGGACGGGUGAGUAACACGUGAGCAAUCUGCCUUUCAGAGGGGGAUACCGAUUGGAAACGAUCGUUAAUACCGCAUAACAUAAUUGAACCGCAUGAUUUGAUUAUCAAAGAUUUAUCGCUGAAAGAUGAGCUCGCGUCUGAUUAGCUAGUUGGUAAGGUAACGGCUUACCAAGGCGACGAUCAGUAGCCGGACUGAGAGGUUGAUCGGCCACAUUGGGACUGAGACACGGCCCAGACUCCUACGGGAGGCAGCAGUGGGGAAUAUUGCACAAUGGAGGAAACUCUGAUGCAGCGAUGCCGCGUGAGGGAAGAAGGUUUUAGGAUUGUAAACCUCUGUCUUCAGGGACGAAAAAAGACGGUACCUGAGGAGGAAGCUCCGGCUAACUACGUGCCAGCAGCCGCGGUAAUACGUAGGGAGCGAGCGUUGUCCGGAAUUACUGGGUGUAAAGGGAGCGUAGGCGGGAUCGCAAGUCAGAUGUGAAAACUAUGGGCUUAACCCAUAAACUGCAUUUGAAACUGUGGUUCUUGAGUGAAGUAGAGGUAAGCGGAAUUCCUAGUGUAGCGGUGAAAUGCGUAGAUAUUAGGAGGAACAUCAGUGGCGAAGGCGGCUUACUGGGCUUUAACUGACGCUGAGGCUCGAAAGCGUGGGGAGCAAACAGGAUUAGAUACCCUGGUAGUCCACGCCGUAAACGAUGAUUACUAGGUGUGGGGGACUGACCCCUUCCGUGCCGCAGCAAACGCAAUAAGUAAGCCACCUGGGGAGUACGACCGCAAGGUUGAAACUCAAAGGAAUUGACGGGGGCCCGCACAAGCAGUGGAGUAUGUGGAUUAAUUCGAAGCAACGCGAAGAACCUUACCAGGUCUUGACAUCGUAUGCAUAGCUCAGAGAUGAGUGAAAUCUCUUCGGAGACAUAUAGACAGGUGGUGCAUGGUUGUCGUCAGCUCGUGUCGUGAGAUGUUGGGUUAAGUCCCGCAACGAGCGCAACCCUUACUGUUAGUUGCUACGCAAGAGCACUCUAGCAGGACUGCCGUUGACAAAACGGAGGAAGGUGGGGAUGACGUCAAAUCAUCAUGCCCCUUAUGACCUGGGCCUCACACGUACUACAAUGGCUGUCAACAGAGGGAUGCAAAGCCGCGAGGUGGAGCGAACCCCUAAAAGCAGUCUUAGUUCGGAUUGUAGGCUGCAACCCGCCUACAUGAAGUCGGAAUUGCUAGUAAUCGCAGAUCAGCAUGCUGCGGUGAAUACGUUCCCGGGCCUUGUACACACCGCCCGUCACGCCAUGGGAGUCGGUAACACCCGAAGCCUGUAGUCUAACCGCAAGGAGGACGCAGUCGAAGGUGGGAUUGAUGACUGGGGUG